UGGGGAAUAUUGGACAAUGGGCGAAAGCCUGAUCCAGCCAUGCCGCGUGUGUGAAGAAGGUCUUCGGAUUGUAAAGCACUUUAAGUUGGGAGGAAGGGCAGUAAGCGAAUACCUUGCUGUUUUGACGUUACCGACAGAAUAAGCACCGGCUAACUCUGUGCCAGCAGCCGCGGUAAUACAGAGGGUGCAAGCGUUAAUCGGAAUUACUGGGCGUAAAGCGCGCGUAGGUGGUUCGUUAAGUUGAAUGUGAAAGCCCCGGGCUCAACCUGGGAACUGCAUCCAAAACUGGCGAGCUAGAGUAGGGCAGAGGGUGGUGGAAUUUCCUGUGUAGCGGUGAAAUGCGUAGAUAUAGGAAGGAACACCAGUGGCGAAGGCGACCACCUGGGCUCAUACUGACACUGAGGUGCGAAAGCGUUGGGAGCAAACAGG
rnacentral:rRNA from 1 species